GACGAACGCUGGCGGCGUGCUUAACACAUGCAAGUCGAACGGAAAGGCCCUGCUUUUGUGGGGUGCUCGAGUGGCGAACGGGUGAGUAACACGUGAGUAACCUGCCCUUGACUUUGGGAUAACUUCAGGAAACUGGGGCUAAUACCGGAUAGGAGCUCCUGCUGCAUGGUGGGGGUUGGAAAGUUUCGGCGGUUGGGGAUGGACUCGCGGCUUAUCAGCUUGUUGGUGGGGUAGUGGCUUACCAAGGCUUUGACGGGUAGCCGGCCUGAGGGGGUGACCGGCCACAUUGGGACUGAGAUACGGCCCAGACUCCUACGGGAGGCAGCAGUGGGGAAUAUUGCACAAUGGGCGGAAGCCUGAUGCAGCAACGCCGCGUGCGGGAUGACGGCCUUCGGGUUGUAAACCGCUUUCGCCUGUGACGAAGCGUGAGUGACGGUAAUGGGUAAAGAAGUACCGGCUAACUACGUG
rnacentral:rRNA from 1 species